ensembl:lncRNA
GGGUGGUGCCUGACAAAGGUCACUGUCCAGAGCAGCUGGGCCCGAGGGGAGGGCAUGGCAUUGGCCACGGCUUGGUUCAGCUCGGCUCAGUGACAAGGGAGCCCCUCCCAGGUGCUGGGGGAUCUGAGAUAGUUUGUCAGCAACAUCCGGCCCCAUGACCGAAGUAUUAUGAAGGAACAAUGAAGCUCUUGGACCUAGAAAACAGGGCAGGGGAGAGAAAGGAAUCUAAGGAGAUUUGAGGAACAGAAGUGGACCCAAAGACUAACAAAGGCCCUCAUCGAUCGUUCCAGAGAAGAAUCAAUCAGAAAGCCCAUGUGUCCCUGACCACCUGUGUGCUGGCUCUCCUGUUGGACAUCACAGGAGGAUUCUGAAGAAUCUGAGAACUACAAUGGAGUAGGAAAGCCCUGGUCUUUCCUUCCACUCUGCCUCAAGGAGAGAAUACAGAGAGAAGCAGGGCUUUGAUUUGGGAACCUGGGUCCCCGAAGAUUGGAGAGUUUUCUCAGAGAGUUCAGAGAUGG